UACGUAGGGUGCGAGCGUUGUCCGGAAUUAUUGGGCGUAAAGAGCUCGUAGGCGGUCUGUCGCGUCGAUCGUGAAAACUUGGGGCUUAACCCUGAGCUUGCGGUCGAUACGGGCAUGACUGGAGUUCGGCAGGGGAGACUGGAAUUCCUGGUGUAGCGGUGAAAUGCGCAGAUAUCAGGAGGAACACCGGUGGCGAAGGCGGGUCUCUGGGCCGAUACUGACGCUCAGGCACGAAAGCGUGGGGAGCAAAAGGG
rnacentral:rRNA from 1 species